GGGGCGCCUGGGUGGCUCAGUCGGUUGAGCGUCUGACUUCGGCUCAGGUCACGAUCUCGUGGUCCAUGAGUUCGAGCCCCGCAUCGGGCUCUGGGCUGAUGGCUCAGAGCCUGGAGCCUGCUUCCCAUUCUGUGUCUCCCUCUCUCUCUGUCCCUCCCCCAUUCAUAUUCUGUCUCUCUCUGUCUCAAAAAUAAAUA